CCCAGAUCAGGGUACUGGAUAACAGAUACCACAGAGGGUGAGGCUUGGCUCCAGAGAUGUCUGGGCCAGGCACUGACCACGGUCCAUAGGGAGCCAGAAGUCAGGGCAGAAUCAGGUCUGGGCUCUCAAUUCCUAAAGAAUUUCCUCCACCUGCUUUCACAGAAUCUCCCCUUUCUGCAAAGAGAUUUUAGUUUGUCUGCACCUUCCAGAAACAAAGUGGCCUUUCAUGAGAUUGUGACUACCACCAAAGAGACAUUAUGGGAGACAACACUGAACCCCAUGAAUGGACCCCACUCAGUGUGACGGGAGGCUCAGGACACAAGGGUGGCCCAGCGCUUCAGCAGGAUACAUGUGGACGUCAGGGCAUGGUUUCUCCUGACUCACAUCGGAUGUCACCAGCUGAGUCACUUCCUGAGGGGUUCAAAAGUUGAGAGCUGAUUUGUAUUCAUGAGCGCCAGGCAGACUGCUGCAAACCCAGCUCCAUGGGGGGACGCGGAAGGAACAGCCAGCCCAGCCUGGGGCCAGACCUGCUCCCCGGAAAUGGAAGAGCUUUCUGGGUGCCGCUAUUGCCCCCACCCCCACUUUAUCCUUGUGACACUGCAUCCCCGCUGCGUGCUGAGGUUCUUUGUGACAAUCACAGCUGAUUCCGCCCUGGUGGAAUUCUGGGGAACCUCCAAGGAAUUUCACUGUGGGCCCUCCAGGCACCUCAUUUGCAUACAUUUGUAUAAGUUAUGCAUCAGUAUACACUCUCUUUAACACUGCAACCUAAUGAAGUCGCUCAGACAGGCACAUUAAAAAUGGGAUUUACUCUGGGA